GAGUGGGGAGUCUGUUCCAGGCGCCUGUCGCCCUGCUGGGUGCUCCAAGGUCCAGGUGGAGGCGUGGGACCGUCCCGCUCUGUGCCCAGGUGCGUCCUCCCCAGUGGGGAGUCCGGAGGAAUCAAGAGUGCGGCCAGGUUUGAAUUCCUCUUACCAUGUGGAUGAGGCUUUAUUGAAGUCUCCAAGUCCCUGUUGUACUGAAAAGCCUCUGCGUUCUGUAUUGUGGAAAGAAGAAAUGCUGCAAUACGGUUUGUUACAUUAGAAGAGAGGUUUUCUCACUUCCACUGUUGUCAAAAUUCCUGUGAAUUACACUCACCGUAACAAGGCUAUCUCCUGUCUAGAAUUAAAGCCAUAAUUAUAACCACUUCAUGCUAUUUGAACAGGGUUGGUCUUGAACUGUAAUAUGUGAGAAAAGUGAUGCUUUUCUUCAUAUGGAGGUAAAUCAGUGAAAGAAAGAGAAUUUAUUAAAAAUUCAUAUGUAGUGCAUUUUCUUGUACAGUUUCUUGUGUGAUAUCCACUCUGUUCAUACAAAAUACCUUUAGACAAGGUUAUUUGUAGUUCAGCAUAAUUUCCUGUUGUAAAGCCUACUGAAGUUGCAAGCUGGUUUAUUACAUAAUCCCUCUGGAUAGGAUACUAGAGCAACAAGCCUGUGUACUGUCUCAGCAGGUUUUGUUUGGAGUGGUGGAUGGGAGAGGUGUAAACACGUGUUUGGUUAUUAUAUUCAUAAUUAUAAUAUGUGAAAAGAAAAAUUAGAGUAUGCAGUUGGAAAGUAAAUGGUUCAAUAGUUAUAUAUGACACAUUAAAGUUUUUUCCACUUG